rnacentral:rRNA from 1 species
GACGAACGCUGGCGGCGUGCCUAAUACAUGCAAGUAGAACGCUGAAGGAGGAGCUUGCUUCUCUGGAUGAGUUGCGAACGGGUGAGUAACGCGUAGGUAACCUGCCUGGUAGCGUGGGAUAACUAUUGGAAACGAUAGCUAAUACCGCAUAAGAGUAGAUGUUGCAUGACAUUUGCUUAAAAGGUGUAAUUGCAUCACUACCAGAUGGACCUGCGUUGUAUUAGCUAGUUGGUGGGGUAACGGCUUACCAAGGCGACGAUACAUAGCCGACCUGAGAGGGGGGUCGGCCAAAAUGGGACUGAGGCACGGCCCAGACUCCUACGGGAAGCAGCAGUAGGGAAUCUUCGGCAAUGGACGGAAGUCUGACCGAACAACGCCGCGUGAGUGAAGAAGGUUUUCGGAUCGUAAAGCUCUGUUGUACGAGAAGAACGAGUGUGAGAGUGGAAAGUUCACGCUGUGACGGUAUCUUACCAGAAAGGGACGGCUAACUACGUG